GCCUUUGUGUGUGUAGUAGUAAGCACGCUCGGUACAUAUUCGAGAGGUUCGUGGUUCGAGUCCCGGCGAGGGCA
rnacentral:tRNA from 1 species